GGCGGACGGGUGAGUAACGCGUGGGUAACCUGCCUCAUACAGGGGGAUAACAGUUGGAAACGACUGCUAAUACCGCAUAAGCACACAGUGCCGCAUGGUACGGUGUGAAAAACUCCGGUGGUAUGAGAUGGACCCGCGUCUGAUUAGGUAGUUGGUGAGGUAACGGCCCACCAAGCCGACGAUCAGUAGCCGACCUGAGAGGGUGACCGGCCACAUUGGGACUGAGACACGGCCCAAACUCCUACGGGAGGCAGCAGUGGGGAAUAUUGGACAAUGGGGGAAACCCUGAUCCAGCGACGCCGCGUGAGUGAAGAAGUAUUUCGGUAUGUAAAGCUCUAUCAGCAGGGAAGAAAAUGACGGUACCUGACUAAGAAGCCCCGGCUAACUACGUGCCAGCAGCCGCGGUAAUACGUAGGGGGCAAGCGUUAUCCGGAUUUACUGGGUGUAAAGGGAGCGUAGACGGCACUGCAAGUCUGGAGUGAAAGCCCGGGGCUCAACCCCGGGGACUGCUUUGGAAAACUGUGGUGCUAGAGUGCAGGAGAGGUAAGUGGAAUUCCUAGUGUAGCGGUGAAAUGCGUNAGAUAUUAGGAGGAACACCCAGUGGCCGAAGGCGGCUUACUGGACUGUAACUGACGUUGAGGCUCGAAAGCGUUGGGGAGCAAACAGGAUUAGAUACCCUGGUUAGUCCACGNCCGUAAACGAUUGAAUACUAGGUGUUGGGGAGCAAAGCUCUUCGGUGCCGCCGCUAACGCAAUAAGUAUUCCACCUGGGGAGUACGUUCGCAAGAAUGAAACUCAAAGGAAUUGACGGGGACCCGCACAAGCGGUGGAGCAUGUGGUUUAAUUCGAAGCAACGCGAAGAACCUUACCAAGUCUUGACAUCGGAAUGACCGGGAUGUAACGAUCCCUUCCCUNCGGGGCAUUCCAGACAGGUGGNGCANNGUUGUCGUCAGCUCGUGUCGUGAGAUGUUGGGUUAAGUCCCGCAACGAGCGCAACCCUUAUCCUUAGUAGCCAGCANGUNAAGUUGGGCACUCUGGGGAGACUGCCAGGGAUAACCUGGAGGAAGGUGGGGAUGACGUCAAAUCAUCAUGCCCCUUAUGAUUUGGGCUACACACGUGCUACAAUGGCGUAAACAAAGGGAAGCAAAGGAGCGAUCUGGAGCAAACCCCAAAAAUAACGUCUCAGUUCGGAUUGUAGUCUGCAACUCGACUACAUGAAGCUGGAAUCGCUAGUAAUCGCGGAUCAUNAAAGGCGCGGUGAAUACGUUCCCGGGUCUUGUACACGCCCCCUUNNAGGGCCAUGGGAGUUGGUAACGCCCGAAGUCCAGUGACCCAACCGUAAGGAGG
rnacentral:rRNA from 1 species